rnacentral:snoRNA from 1 species
GGCAACGGUGAUGAGUCAUACAGACCUGUAAUGAUGUGCGAAGAUGAUCGCAAUUCAUUAUGAACAUCUAAGGGACUGAGUUGUC